rnacentral:rRNA from 1 species
AGAGUUUGAUCCUGGCUCAGAUUGAACGCUGGCGGCAUGCCUUACACAUGCAAGUCGAACGGCAGCACGGGGGCAACCCUGGUGGCGAGUGGCGAACGGGUGAGUAACACAUCGGAACGUGCCCAGUCGUGGGGGAUAACGUAGCGAAAGCUACGCUAAUACCGCAUACGAACUCUGGUUGAAAGCGGGGGACCUGUAAGGGCCUCGCGCGAUUGGAGCGGCCGAUGGCAGAUUAGGUAGUUGGUGGGGUAAAGGCUCACCAAGCCGACGAUCUGUAGCUGGUCUGAGAGGACGACCAGCCACACUGGGACUGAGACACGGCCCAGACUCCUACGGGAGGCAGCAGUGGGGAAUUUUGGACAAUGGGCGCAAGCCUGAUCCAGCCAUUCCGCGUGCAGGAUGAAGGCCCUCGGGUUGUAAACUGCUUUUUGGACGGAACGAAAAGGCCUUUUCUAAUACAGAGGGCUCAUGACGGUACCGUCAGAAUAAGCACCGGCUAACUACGUGCCAGCAGCCGCGGUAAUACGUGGGGUGCAAGCGUUAAUCGGAAUUACUGGGCGUAAAGCGUGCGCAGGCGGUGAUUAAGCCAGAUGUGAAAUCCCCGGGCUCAACUGGGAAACUGCAUUUGGGGA